AAUCAACGCUGGCGGCGUGCCUAACACAUGCAAGUCGAACGAGAAAGUGGGGGCAACCCUGCGAGUACAGUGGCAGACGGGUGAGUAACACGUGAACAACCUACCCUUGAGUGAGGAAUAACACCGCGAAAGCGGUGCUAAUACCGCAUAAAAUCUUGAGGUCGCAUGGCUUUAAGAUCAAAAGCGCAAGUUGCUUGAGGAGGGGUUCGCGGCUGAUUAGCUAGUUGGUGAGGUAACGGCCCACCAAGGCAACGAUCAGUAGCCGGCCUGAGAGGGUGAACGGCCACACUGGAACUGAGACACGGUCCAGACUCCUACGUGAGGCAGCAGUGGGGAAUUUUGCGCAAUGGGCGAAAGCCUGACGCAGCCACGCCGCGUGGAGGAUGAAGGCCUUCGGGUCGUAAACUCCUGUCGAUGGAGACCAAAGCCUGCAAAGGUUUGACUGUACCCGUUGAGGAAGCCACGGCUAACUCCGUGCCAGCCGCCGCGGUAAAAC
rnacentral:rRNA from 1 species